CUACGGCAGACCUUACGAUCUCCCGCGCUCCACCAAAUCCUUUAAUCAUAAUCCACUCAAAUUUUUAACAUCAACGUCAGGAUAACUUAGGAAAACUCCUAAAGUAAAGAUUCAUACAUCGACAGGUUUCGGUGACAAUUCGACUUUGUCCCAAAAUCUGGCCGUAGCCAACAUCCCGGAGGCGUCUUCCAACACGACAAAAAUCGAAUAAAAGCAUCGCUUAGCCCAGACUGACACCAUUCACCGCUCCCAAGCAAAUAGUCUAGUACUAUUCAUACCCGGUUACCAAAUGGCGGAUUAUUAUAGAAAAAAAAAAUAAUAAUGAAAAUCCUGUCUUUUCACAUCGGAUGCUUUUCUGGGCAAAUAUAACAGUUCUACCUUCUGAAGCUCCCAAGGUAUUCCCUGGAAAUAUAGUUCAAGAUACUCGCUGCAUUCUCAUCUGUAGAUGAAUCUAUGGAGCCACAAGCAAGCAAAAAAAGAAAAAAAGAAAAAAAAAAAGUAUGAAUUUACAAGAAUUUCUCCCGAAUUAUAAAUGACGUUUUCUAAUAACCGCCAAAAAUUAUACGGUUGUGAUCACCUUCCAAUCUCACAAUUUUCCAGUGAAAUUUUUGGCACUGGUCAACAGAAUGACGAAGCAGUUCAACCGACACAGACUUACAAUAAGCCAUCAAUGAACAGCGUGAAUGUAUUAUUCUCAACGGUGGCCGUAAAAUGCUUUCGUUAGAACGCGCACAUGCAAGCAUUUGGUGCUCCUGAAUGAAAACCAAGACCGGAACUGAGGGGAUUUCGUCGGAUUCUUCGCGUGAGGAGACCCCCAAACUACCUAAGGAUAAGUGGGAAUGAACGGGCAGUAUCUUGGAUUGUCUAUAAGUCGUCAGUCUGUGAAUUCGUGAGCUUGACGUUCUGUUAUUGAAGAGGGUCGUCUUUGUUACCCUAUUCUUUUGGGCUAGAUGUCACUGGGACAAACGGACAGAUGCCCUUAUCUAGCCCAGCCCUGAAAACAAGUAGAUGAAUAGGGAGGGAGAAAAGAUUUUGGUUCCACCCAGAUGAAGGGUGCAAAAAAAAAAAAAAAAAAAACAAAAAAAAAAAAAAAAAAAAAAAAAAAAUUUAGAAAUAUAAGAUGGAAUCCAUGGGUGCCAAUUAGCCAGGCAGCCCAUACUUCUUUCUAACCCAGAUCCGAAUAAUACAGAAUGAAAAAUGAGAGUGGCAAGCAGUUGAAAUAAAUCAUGUAGUAUGUUGAAAUAAAUCAUGUAGUAUGAUAAAGUGAAAACCUGUUGGAUUAAACCCUAUAAAAAUGAUAAGGUGAAAAAUCUGGAUUAAAGCCCGUAAAAUGAUAAAAGUGAAAAACAGCUGGAUUAAAGCCUUAAAAUGAUAAAGUGAAAAACAUUUGGAUGAAACCCUAUAUAAUUACAUAGUGAACAACAGUUGGAUUAAAGCCUUAAAAUAAUAGUGUAAAACAUUUGGAUUAAACCCUAAAAAUUCAUAAAGUGAAAGUCAUUUGGAUUAAACCCUAUGAAAUUGUAAAGUGAAAAACAUUUGGAUUGAAUAAUAUAAAAUCAAAGUGAAAACUGUUGGAUUAAAGCCCAUAAAAUGAUAAAGUGCAAAAGGAUUAAACCCUUGAGAAAGUGACAAAACGAAAUCCCCUACAACUGACAAGACUCCAUAGGACCGUUUAAAUAACAGAUGCCAUUCCUGUGCAUGACACAUUCCAAGCAAGAUACUGACCGUCCAGAAAGAAUGGACGUACACCAUUGUGCAAGAAGAGAUAGUGGAAUAAAGCAGUCUCAUUUCUUCUUUGUAAAAUAGACCAGAAAACAGCAAAAUUAUUCGUGUGAACCAUAUAAAGAAAAUUCUCUUUCAUAAAAUCUAAAAAUUUUCUACAUAUA